GACGAACGCUGGCGGCGUGCUUAACACAUGCAAGUCGAACGGAAAGGCCCUGCUUUUGUGGGGUGCUCGAGUGGCGAACGGGUGAGUAACACGUGAGUAACCUGCCCUUGACUUUGGGAUAACUUCAGGAAACUGGGGCUAAUACCGGAUAGGAGCUCCUGCUGCAUGGUGGGGGUUGGAAAGUUUCGGCGGUUGGGGAUGGACUCGCGGCUUAUCAGCUUGUUGGUGGGGUAGUGGCUUACCAAGGCUUUGACGGGUAGCCGGCCUGAGAGGGUGACCGGCCACAUUAGGACUGAGAUACGGCCCAGACUCCUACGGGAGGCAGCAGUGGGGAAUAUUGCACAAUGGGCGGAAGCCUGAUGCAGCAACGCCGCGUGCGGGAUGACGGCCUUCGGGUUGUAAACCGCUUUCGCCUGUGACGAAGCGUGAGUGACGGUAAUGGGUAAAGAAGCACCGACUAACUACGUG
rnacentral:rRNA from 1 species